UAUCCCUCUAGUGGUGUGGGGGCUAUACUCAGCCUUGUCUCGGGGUAGUAGGGUGGUAGAUAUCCCUCUAGUGGUGUGGGGGCUAUACUCAGCCUUGUCUCAGGGUAGUAGGGUGGUAGAUAUCCCUCUAGUGGUGUGGGGGCUAUACUCAGCCUUGUCUCAGGGUAGUAGGGUGGUAGAUAUCCCUCUAGUGGUGUGGGGGCUAUACUCAGCCUUGUCUCAGGGUAGUAGGGUGGUAGAUAUCCCUCUAGUGGUGUGGGGGCUAUACUCAGCCUUGUCUCAGGGUAGUAGGGUGGUAGAUGUCCCUCUAGUGGUGUGGGGGCUAUACUCAGCCUGGUCUCAGGGUAGUAGGGUGGUGGUUGGUAGAUAUCCCUCUAGUGGUGUGGGGGCUAUACUCAGCCUUGUCUCAGGGUAGUAGGGUGGUAGAUAUCCCUCUAGUGGUGUGGGGGCUAUACUCAGCCUUGUCUCAGGGUAGUAGGGUGGUAGAUAUCCCUCUAGUGGUGUGGGGGCUAUACUCAGCCUUGUCUCAGGGUGGUAGAUAUCCCUCUAGUGGUGCGGGGGCUAUACUCAGCCUUGUCUCAGGGUGGUAGGGUGGUAGAUAUCCCUCUAGUGGUGUGGGGGCUAUACUCAGCCUGGUCUCAGGGUAGUAGGGUAGUAGGGUGGUAGAUAUCCCUCUAGUGGUGUGGGAGCUAUACUCAGCCUUGUCUCAGGGUAGUAGGGUGGUGGUUGGUAGAUAUCCCUCUAGUGGUGUGGGGGCUAUACUCAGCCUGGUCUCAGGGUAGUAGGUUGGUAGAUAUCCCUCUAGUGGUGUGGGAGCUAUACUCAGCCUGGUCUCAGGGUAGUAGGGUGGUAGAUAUCCCUCUAGUGGUGUGGGGGCUAUACUCAGCCUGGUCUCAGGGUAGUAGGGUGGUAGAUAUCCCUCUAGUGGUGUGGGGGCUAUACUCAGCCUGGUCUCAGGGUAGUAGGGUGGUAGAUAUCCCUCUAGUGGUGUGGGGGCUAUACUCAGCCUGGUCUCAGGGUAGUAGGGUGGUAGAUAUCCCUCUAGUGGUGUGGGGGCUAUACUCAGCCUGGUCUCAGGGUAGUAGGGUGGUAGAUAUCCCUCUAGUGGUGUGGGGGCUAUACUCAGCCUGGUCUCAGGGUAGUAGGGUGGUGGUUGGUAGAUAUCCCUCUAGUGGUGUGGGGGCUAUACUCAGCCUUGUCUCAGGGUAGUAGGUUGGUAGAUAUCCCUCUAGUGGUGUGGGGGCUAUACUCAGCCUGGUCUCAGGGUAGUAGGGUGGUAGAUAUCCCUCUAGUGAUGUGGGGGCUAUACUCAGCCUUGUCUCAGGGUAGUAGGUUGGUAGAUAUCCCUCUAGUGGUGUGGGGGCUAUACUCAGCCUGGUCUCAGGGUAGUAGGGUGGUAGAUAUCCCUCUAGUGAUGUGGGGGCUAUACUCAGCCUUGUCUCAGGGUAGUAGGUUGGUAGAUAUCCCUCUAGUAGUGUGGGGGCUAUACUCAGCCUUGUCUCAGGGUAGUAGGGUGGUAGAUAUCCCUCUAGUGGUGUGGGGGCUAUACUCAGCCUUGUCUCAGGGUAGUAGGUUGGUAGAUAUCCCUCUAGUGGUGUGGGGGCUAUACUCAGCCUUGUCUCAGGGUAGUAGGGUGGUAGAUAUCCCUCUAGUGGUGUGGGGGCUAUACUCAGCCUUGUCUCAGGGUAGUAGGUUGGUAGAUAUCCCUCUAGUGGUGUGGGGGCUAUACUCAGCCUUGUCUCAGGGUAGUAGGGUGGUAGAUAUCCCUCUAGUGGUGUGGGGGCUAUACUCAGCCUGGUCUCAGGGUAGUAGGGUGGUAGAUAUCCCUCUAGUGGUGUGGGGGCUAUACUCAGCCUGGUCUCAGGGUAGUAAGUUGGUGGUCUGUUUAUAUCCAUCUAGUGGUGUGGGGGCUGUGCUUUGGCAUAGUGCGUGGGGUUAUAUCCAGCCUGGUUGGCCCUGUCCAGGGGUAUUGUCGGACGGGGUCACUGUGUCCCCCGAUCCCCCCUUCUCAGCCUCCAGUAUCUAUGGUGCAAUAGUUCAUGUGCUGGGGGGCUGGAGUCAGUCUGUUAUAUCUGAUGUAAUUCUCCUGUCUUAUCAGGUGUCAUGUGUGAAAGUAUGAUCCCUCUAAUUCUCUCUUUCCCUCUCUCCCUCCCUGAGCCCUAGGACCAUGCCUCAGGACUACCUAGCCUGAUGACUCCUGGCUGUCCCCAGUCCACCUGGUCAUGCUGCUGUUCCAGUUUCAACUGUUCUGCCUGCGGCUAUGGAACCCUGACCUGUUCACCGGAAGUGCUACCUUGUCCUGGACCUGCUGUUUUUGACUCUCUCUCUCUACCGUACCUGCUGUCUCAACCUCUGAAUGCUUGGCUAUGAAAAGCCAACUGACAUUUACUCCUGAGGUACUGACCUUUUGCACCCUCUACAACCACUGUGAAUAUUAUUUGACACUGCUGGUCAUCUAUGGACGUUUGAACAUCUUGAAGAAGAAUCUAGCCUUAUGCACAGUUAUAAUCUCCAACCGGUACAGGCAGAAGAGGUCUGAUCACCCCUCAGAGCCUGGUUCCUCUCUAGGUGUCUUCCUAGGUUCCUGCCUUUCUAGAGUUUUUCCUAGCCAUCAUGCUUCUACAUCUGCAUUUCUCCCUGUUUGGGGUUGUAGGCUGGGUUUCUGUAUUGCACUUUGUGAGAUCUGCUGAUGUAAAAAUAGCUUUACAAAUAAACGUGAGUGAUUGGAAUACAUUUGUAUUGAUUAGCUUACCUGUGCAAUAUUGACGUAAGCUCAGAACCACUUGUGUUUCAAACUAGGGCUUGUUUUCUGUGUUGAUCAAUGGACAAUUUAUUACCUCCGUCAAAAUAACAUGUAGCUUGAAGUUGUUUGUACUUGUAUUUCUUUUUGCAAUAAAGAUGGUGGAGCAACAAUAAUACACAUUUACAAUAGGCCUAUAUUAAAAAA